rnacentral:rRNA from 1 species
GAUGAACGCUGGCGGCGUGCCUAAUACAUGCAAGUCGAGCGAACAGACGAGGAGCUUGCUCCUUUGACGUUAGCGGAGGACGGGUGAGUAACACGCAGGUCACCUACCUAUAAGACUGGGAUAACUUCGGGAAACCGGCGCUAAUACCGGAUAAUAUUUCGAACCGCAUGGUUCGAUAGUGAAAGAUGGCUUUGCUAUCACUUAUAGAUGGACCUGCGCCGUAUUAGCUAGUUGGUAAGGUAACGGCUUACCAAGGCAACGAUACGUAGCCGACCUGAGAGGGUGAUCGGCCACACGGGAACUGAGACACGGUCCAGACGCCUACGGGAGGCAGCAGUAGGGAAUCUGCCGCAAUGGGCGAAAGCCUGACGGAGCAACGCCGCGUGAGUGAUGAAGGUCUUCGGAUCGUAAAACUCUGUUAUGAGGGAAGAACAAACGUGUAAGUAACUGUGCACGUCUUGACGGUACCUAAUCAGAAAGCCACGGCUAACUACGUG